rnacentral:rRNA from 1 species
CAAAUUUUUCUAGGUUGACC